GAUCAUGGCUCAGGAUGAACGCUAGCGGCAGGCUUAACACAUGCAAGUCGAGGGGCAGCAUAAUGGAUAGCAAUAUCUAUGGUGGCGACCGGCGCACGGGUGCGUAACGCGUAUGCAACCUACCUUUAAACAGGGGGAGUAACACUGAGAAAUUGGUACUAAUACCCCAUAAUAUCAUAGAAGGCAUCUUUUAUGGUUGAAAAUUCCGAUGGUUAGAGAUGGGCAUGCGUUGUA
rnacentral:rRNA from 1 species